GAAGAUGGCGCUGAUUUCACAAUUUUUAACCUAUCUCUGUUCUUGUCUUAUUAUUUACUCUCUUUGUCUAUAUUUAGUAUAUAAAAUUAAUUUUGUAAGGAUAAUGUAAAUACUUGUAACAAUCUAAACUGAAAAUAUCGAAGUUUUUUUUAAUAAGAAGAAAAAAAUAAUGAUUGGUUACUCGGCAAAAGGGCCGAAUUCACUUUCACAAACUGGUGCGAGUAAAGUGAAGGACUUUUUUUCCGAAACGAAAUCUGCACCUGAUUGCACCUGAAACAUUACCAAUUCAAAGGAUAAACUCGAGUAUAUUGGUUUAGUAGAAUUUUUUUCACCAAUAACAAAUGUCUUUGUUCAAAAAUUGAAACGUUGAUGAAUAACUUGUAAUGGUGUGAUGUGCUGAGUCAUUCAAGAAAUCGGACAAUAGUAUGCACAAAUCAAAAGAUAUAAAUGAAGAAAGAAAAAAGAAAAUCGAAGAAAAUCACGUAACGAGUCGUAGUGUUAUUUAACCUCGAUUAAACGUUCUUUUGCAUCGAGUCGAUUCGCACGAUAUCCAUAGUCAUUUCUUUUCCGGCCAGUCGUGGUAUCAGAACUUUCACGCUCGAAAUGUUGGCCAGCCAUUGCGAAAUCAGAUGAUAUUUACACAACCGUGUCGACUUUUCUCACUCGUUCACUUUAAUAAACGCGGGCUAAUUAUCGUAGAAAUUUUAACUAUUAUAACAAUUCUUGCAGGAAGAGUUGCAGUUGGACUACAUGUCGGAUGGGUCAUUAUAUUCCUCAAGGUUGGAUCGUCGGAAUAUAUGUAUAUACUACAUGUGUGUAAAAUAGAUCUUGAGAGAGGAUGUAUCUUGCUGCUAUGCACAUCUUAAUUAAAUACAUUUAUCGUUCAAUAUGUUUCGCAAUGUCGAAUAAAUAAAAAUCUAUUUCACGAAACGAUUUUGCAAGUGGAAAAAUUUUGAUGAGAAAUAUAAAAAAAAAAUUUAAAAUAGAUUUAUGGAUUGUGUUAUUGCCUCGAUAAAAUGUGGAUAUUAAAGAUUGAGUAAUUGAUAAAUGGAAGAUUACAAUUUUUUUGGAUUUUUAGCAAUUUUCAUUAUAAUCCGUUAAGAAUUAAGUGAAAGUAUCUAAAUAAUCCGUAAAUGAAAUAUUAUUAAGAAAUAUAUGUAAUAUGAUAUAUAUAUUAUAUAUAUCACUUUGUCAAAGUAUAAAAAAUACAUUAGAAUAAUGGAUACUUUACACAAGUCUAUUACACAAAUCACAUGAAUUAAUUUUUUUUUAAUUUUUAUGAAUAGCGAUAUGAGCUUUUACAUUUUAAAAUUCAGAAUCUAUUGACAUAAUUACCAAUUUUGUAGAAACUUCUGUUGUCAACUGAAUGUGAAUCCCUUUCACCAGCAAUCUGCAUGCUUAUGUAAUUCACAGCGAAUUAUUGAAGUGGUCAAUAUCCUUAAACAAAGUUAAUCUCUAAAAUAAUAAGUAAAGUAAUAAGUAUAAAAUAAAUGAAAUGAAUUAAAAAUAAUGAAUUAUAAUCAAAUUUCAUCAAAAUAUAUAUAUUAAAUUAUCAUAUAUUACAAAUAAUCAAAUCUUACAAAAAUAUAGAAAAUAUGAAAGAAUAAAAUUAUUAUUAUAUAUUAAUUAAAAGUAUAAUUUUAUUCAAUUAACAAAUAAUAACAAUUUUUAAAUUGAACA